CAGUAGCCACGGGAAUACGAGGGGGGCAAGCGUUGUUCGGAAUUAUUGGGCGUAAAGGGUGCGUAGGCGGCUUGACAAGUCUUGUGUGAAAUCUAUGGGCUCAACCCAUAGUCUGCACGGGAAACUGUCGGGCUUGAGAAUGGGAGAGGUGAGUGGAAUUUCCGGUGUAGCGGUGAAAUGCGUAGAUAUCGGAAGGAACACCUGUGGCGAAAGCGGCUCACUGGACCAUUUCUGACGCUGAUGCACGAAAGCUAGGGGAGCAAACAGGAUUAGAUACCCCCGUAGUCCCUGUCUCUUAUAC
rnacentral:rRNA from 1 species